UAGCAGACAACAGUAUCUUGUGGUCCCCACACGGAGUAUAAUAAUCGAAUAAUGGUAAAAAUACUCAUUAUUUACGUUCUGGUUGCCUUUGUCGUAUCUAAUACGGAAGCCACCUGCUGGAAUGUAACCAGAGGUCCACAAUCGAAUACCAAAUGGUAUCUGGGCCUUGACAACACAGCAUACACUGCCGACGACCUAUCGCUGAAUGUAGAUAAUGUCAUUCUGAAGCAAUUGUAUCCCGCUAAUUGUCCCAGUACUUACGGAUGCGACAUUGUACGGUAUAAGAUUCAAUGGUUCAGUGGAUCGUGGAGUGGUGACUUUUACCCGGGCUCUCAGGACGUCUAUCAGAAGCCAGGUGAAAAUGCUCGACACUGGUGGGCCUGCUUCAAUGAUCACUCUCAUUCAUUUGAGUACUGCAACUGAGGUAUCGAAUUCGAUUCGUUAAAUUGAAAAUUCAAAUUCAAAUUGAAAUAAAAUUGAUUUGUCAGAAUUAA